UCAAAUCAUUAAGUAAUCCAAGA
rnacentral:snRNA from 1 species